rnacentral:rRNA from 1 species
GGAAGCGAUUCCGGCUACGGAUGGUCAUGCGUCGCAUUAGCUAGUUGGCGGGGUAACGGCCCACCAAGGCGACGAUGCGUAGGGGUUCUGAGAGGAAGGUCCCCCACACUGGUACUGAGACACGGACCAGACUCCUACGGGAGGCAGCGGUGAGGAAUAUUGGUCAAUGGCCGCAGGGCUGAACCAGCCAAGUCGCGUGAGGGAUGACGGUCCUAUGGAUUGUAAACCUCUUUUGUCAGGGAGCAAAGGGCGCCACGUGUGGCGUUUUGCGAGUACCUGAAGAAAAAGCAUCGGCUAACUCCGUGCCAGCAGCCGCGGUAAUACGGAGGAUGCGAGCGUUAUCCGGAUUUAUUGGGUUUAAAGGGUGCGCAGGCGGAAUGUCAAGUCAGCGGUAAAAUUUCGGGGCUCAACCCCGUCGUGCCGUUGAAACUGGCGUUCUUGAGUGAGCGAGAAGUAUGCGGAAUGCGUGGUGUAGCGGUGAAAUGCAUAGAUAUCACGCAGAACUCCGAUUGCGAAGGCAGCAUACCGGCGCUCAACUGACGCUCAUGCACGAAAGCGUGGGUAUCGAACAGGAUUAGAUACCCUGGUAGUCCACGCAGUAAACGAUGAAUACUAACUGUCCGGGCAGAAUGAUGCCUGG